rnacentral:rRNA from 1 species
UGGGGAAUAUUGGACAAUGGGGGCAACCCUGAUCCAGCAGUACCGCGUGAGUGAAGAAGGCCUUCGGGUUGUAAAGCUCUUUUACCGGGGAAGAUAAUGACGGUACCCGGGGAAUAAGCUCCGGCUAACUUCGUGCCAGCAGCCGCGGUAAUACGAAGGGAGCUAGCGUUGUUCGGAAUUACUGGGCGUAAAGGGCGCGUAGGCGGUUUUGUAAGUCAGAUGUGAAAGCCCCGGGCUUAACCUGGGAACUGCAUUUGAGACUGCAAGACUAGAGAUCGAGAGAGGAAAGUGGAAUUACGAGUGUAGAAGUGAAAUUCGUAGAUAUUCGUAGGAACACCGGUGGCGAAGGCGACUUUCUGGCUCGACCCUGACGCUAAAGCGCGAAAGCGUGGGGAGCAAACA